CGUUGAAGACGUCUGCAGAUGUUCGGGGAAAAUGAGUGUGCUAGCUUAGAAAGAGCACAGAGCUUUUCCCGGCACAUUAAGUAACUUACAGCCGAACUUCGGUUUCAUAAAAAAGGAGCUAAGAAUACGGGAAAGUGUAAAUAUUAUCAGAUCGUGAAAGACCAUAUGUCAGGUUUCCCAUUGAAGCCCAAGAUGCCUUAGUUUAAAACAGAGCCACUCUCGGAGGCUUCCGGGUGAUUCUGCAUGGCAAGGAGCUGUCACCCGUGUUCACACGUGUCACCUCUGACCUCCCCGUGUCGAGUCUUUCCCCCGGAUCCAUUCCACAAACAGGCCGCGAGCCCGUAGGAACUGAGCAUGGACAUGCUACGCGGAGGAGCGUGCCCACGGCAGAGGCUGGCAGGUGCGAUACCUUACUUCAAGAGCCCUGGAAGGGGAUAGUGGAUCCCAGGACACUGGGGCCGUGAGAAACCUGAAUUUACAGCGGCAGCAGCAACCCCGUCCGAUGGCACAGCCAACCCUCACGAUCGCUGCAUCGAGAGGAGCGCGCGGGACGGGCCGAGGCUCCUCUCGCCCGGGCCAGUCGAACUGGCGGGGGUUGAAGAGAAGCUGGCAGUUGUCCUACGGAAAGGCAAGGGAAGAGGUUGGGACACCGCGAGGACGUCGCUGGGCUGCACAUCACUCACUCCGGGAGGAUCAGACGACCCACACGGAGCCAGUCGGCCUCGGCCCCGCGCUUUCCUGCCGUCGAACCACUUUCUGAUUAUCUAUGCGUCUGCCGCUGAAAUGGAGAGAUUUCGUGGCAGAGACGACAUAACCGUAUACGUCACGCUGAGAACAGGUCUGCCAGCGUCACGUGAGCGAAAUAAAAACGCGGUGGCUUCUUCAGAGGGGCUGAAGCGUGCAGACCACAGGGACACAGGCGCUUUCGUGUCCCGCCCGCACACCCACCUACAGGACAGCUCCUCUUAUUGCACAUCUGACGCUCUUGGACGUCCCCCACGCAGUCCUUGCCCCCGUGCUGGGGCUCGGGGCUGUUACAGACGCGCGUCCGCUCCCGGAUCCCUCCGGCACAGGGGGAGAAGUCCCACAGACCGGGGUCUAGAGGCGGAAAGCUGCCCACACAGGCACACCUGCCAGGUCACAGAGCAGGAAGACCACGGCGACCAGUGGCUCCAGCCCCCGUCCUGCCGGACUAACACACAGAGGAACACAGAGACAUCAGGGUGAGGCAGGGGCUGGCCGUCCCAGGCGUCUGCUCACGCCCAAGCCGGAGAGCCCGUCCCUGCGAUCCGGCCCCGCCCUGCGGACGAGGAGUGGCCUCUGACACUCACUUCGGUG